CGGGACACGUGGUAUCCUGUCUGAAUAUGGGGGGACCAUCCUCCAAGGCUAAAUACUCCUGACUGACCGAUAGUGAACCAGUACCGUGAGGGAAAGGCGAAAAGAACCCCGGCGAGGGGAGUGAAAAAGAACCUGAAACCGUGUACGUACAAGCAGUGGGAGCCUCUUUAUGGGGUGACUGCGUACCUUUUGUAUAAUGGGUCAGCGACUUAUAUUCUGUAGCAAGGUUAACCGAAUAGGGGAGCCGAAGGGAAACCGAGUCUUAACUGGGCGUUAAGUUGCAGGGUAUAGACCCGAAACCCGGUGAUCUAGCCAUGGGCAGGUUGAAGGUUGGGUAACACUAACUGGAGGACCGAACCGACUAAUGUUGAAAAAUUAGCGGAUGACUUGUGGCUGGGGGUGAAAGGCCAAUCAAACCGGGAGAUAGCUGGUUCUCCCCGAAAGCUAUUUAGGUAGCGCCUCGUGAAUUCAUCUCCGGGGGUAGAGCACUGUUUCGGCAAGGGGGUCAUCCCGACUUACCAACCCGAUGCAAACUGCGAAUACCGGAGAAUGUUAUCACGGGAGACACACGGCGGGUGCUAACGUCCGUCGUGAAGAGGGAAACAACCCAGACCGCCAGCUAAGGUCCCAAAGUCAUGGUUAAGUGGGAAACGAUGUGGGAAGGCCCAGACAGCCAGGAUGUUGGCUUAGAAGCAGCCAUCAUUUAAAGAAAGCGUAAUAGCUCACUGGUCGAGUCGGCCUGCGCGGAAGAUGUAACGGGGCUAAACCAUGCACCGAAGCUGCGGCAGCGACACUAUGUGUUGUUGGGUAGGGGAGCG
rnacentral:rRNA from 1 species